UUUCGUUUUAGGAACGGUGCCGCAGUCCAUGGAAGCGCUUUCAUCGCUGUUUCAACGCAUUUAUUAAAACAAAUCAAAGGAAGGCCUCAGGGGCUUCGUCGCUUAAGAGAGGCUGUGCGCUCUCCCUUAUGCCCUGCUGGCAACCAUAAGCGCUUACGCCGCGCAUAAGAACCAGCCCUCUUAAGAACAAGGCACAAAAAGGAAGAUGCGAGGCUGGUCGCUCUGACGUUCUUUUAUGCUUUCUACUUGCGGUUGCUUUCGCUAAUGCACUUGAAUAACUGACCUGCCAUAACGAUCGCGGCGCACAGUUUUUACAUUCCCUUUUGCAUA